UACGUAGGGUGCAAGCGUUGUCCGGAAUUAUUGGGCGUAAAGAGCUCGUAGGCGGUCUGUCGCGUCUGCUGUGAAAACUCAGGGCUUAACCCUGAGCUUGCAGUGGGUACGGGCAGACUAGAGUGCGGUAGGGGAGACUGGAAUUCCUGGUGUAGCGGUGAAAUGCGCAGAUAUCAGGAAGAACACCCGUGGCUAAGGCGGCUCUCUAGUACGGUACUGACGCUGAGACGCGAAAGCGUGGGGAGCAAACAGG
rnacentral:rRNA from 1 species